GGAAUGCUCUGUAAGCCCCGCGGAUGAUGGAGACUCAAUUCAACCUCGAUAAGGCGGGAAACUGCGACUUGCUCUGAGCGCUUAGCGGCUGCUGCGUGAUUCGUACCAGCGGCAGGUUAGGGGAGGAUGGAAAGUGAAGGUGCAUUGGUUACAUUCGAUUGUAAUUGAUAAUCGUAGUUUCUACAUCGAAUAUUUGUAUUAGUGAAGGGUCCUUAGGGAACUUGGAAGUACAUUCGCGGUGCGCAUUUGUGCGGCCAAGGGGACAGUAUGGUUUGGGAUUUGCGCGGCAGAGCCUCAGUGACGCACCACCGGCUGUCACCGCCACGCACACCAGCCCCGAGAGCACUGCCCUACGGCACGCUAGGCAGGCCGCACGCACGCAUCCCGGCGCGUCCUCCCCUGCACCUCUGCCCCUCUGCCUGCCUGUCAUAGAAACGUCGGGAGGGUCCCGGAUGGGCGAGGGCGGUGGGCAGGCCCUGAACUCAGAGCUGGGGUGGGGACGCACAUCCUGGACUCCGGGGAAGAGGAGAAGCCGGCAAGAAGCAAAAACCGGCCCUCCCCUCACCUCGGGUACAGAUAAGCCCUCCGUGGCCCAGGUAAUUACCCAUUGAUAUGGAGAUUAACUCCACCCCUGAGGAAUGAUGCAAAUGCACUAAAGCCGUACUUCUCUCCACCUCUGAACGCCUGUUGAUAUGCAGAUGUUCUAAAGCGAGGCGAGAUAUUCAGGAAAUGUUAGUUUUACCCACACUCACUGAGCUGCACCUCCUUCCUCCCAGGAUGUCCCCUUAACACAAGCAUGCGGAUUUUCUACAUUUUAUUCUGGUGUCUGUACUCGCAAGUCCUUAAACAUGCCUGUUUGGUUGCAACCUGUUUCUCUCUCAAGAUACCUCUUUCGUUUCCCAUUUUUGUUUCCUCCCAAGCCGUGCCAGUCCCACCACGUGUCCCCGCCGCCAUCUUCCUUUCGGGCGGUAACGCCGGCCGGCGGCGUCCCUGCCCCACUGCGCAGGCGCGCGCGAGGGCGAAACGCAGUGCGGGCCCGGCCAAGUCGCCAUCCUACAGGCGCUCCUGCCCGGCAUGGCCGCCC